AUACGUAGGUGGCAAGCGUUGUCCGGAAUUAUUGGGCGUAAAGCGCGCGCAGGCGGUCCUUUAAGUCGGAAGUGAAAGCCCACGGCUCAACCGGGGAGGGGCAUUGGAAACUGGGGGGCUUGAGUGUAGAAGAGGAAAGUGGAAUUUCAAGUGUAGCGGUGAAAUGCGUAGAGAUUAGGAGGAACACCAGUGGCGAAGGCGUCUUUCUGGUCUUUAUCUGGCUCUGGGGCGCGAAAGCGUUGGGGACAAACAGGUUUAGAUUCCCUUGUAGUCCCCUCCGUAAACGAUGAGUACUAAGUGUUAGGGUGUUUCCGCCCCUUAGUGCCGCAACUAACGCAUUAAGCACACCGCCUGGGGAGUACGGUCGCAAGACUAAAACUCAAAUGAAGUGACGGGG
rnacentral:rRNA from 1 species